AUGGCUCUUUUCCAGGGGACUAGAGAAGCUGGAUCCUGGUCAUUUCUAGGAAGGCAUCACUGUUCAAGAGAUCUGGGGCGGCAACACCAUCCUCUGCCCCCAGGCCUGCUGAGCCAGGUGGGCAGAGGCCUCUGCUCAGCCCACUCGCCUCUUCCCUGCCGCCGCCUGAGGCUACAGCGUGAAAGUGGUGGGCAGUGGUCGUCAGGAUCCAGAGAAAGCAAGAUGCGGGCCCUGCAGCCGGGCGGCAGGUCGCCGUGUCCCAGCCUCAGCCCUGACCACACCGCAGACCUGAGACCGGAACCCAGGCCCCCGUGGCUCUGGGGCCCCGACGCGGAGAGGCCCUCUACCCAGAGUCAGGAACUGGACCUGCGUCUCCUGUGUGGCAGGUGGAGUCUUCACCAGCUGAGCCACCAAGGUGCUGUUCCUCAAUCCCCUCAGCAAAUCCUGGCGCCCACCUGUAAGCAGAAGCCGGGGCUGGAUGGGAGGAGAGCCACAGCAGAGAAAAAAAGAGGAACUCCCACGCCGUCAGCCCUGGGUUGUCAGCAGAACUAGCACCUUCCUCGGGGCCUUGGGAGAGCGGCCUGGGAGAAGGCCCCGGACGCUCUCCUCCUGGGACACUUGAUGAGCAGCGGGGCUGCCUUCCUCCCAGGGUUGGCCUCUGUCCUUCCAGAAGAUGAGCAGCAAUUUUGAACCCUGCCUGUCCUCGCCAACCACCCGGGUGGCUCUGCAAUCCCAUGGCCCUGGUCGUAUCAGACCAACUGGGUCCAAACCUCCGUGAGUGGGACCCCAGGGCCAGUGUUUGUAUUUAAUGCUUUCUAGGGGGUUCCAAUGUCCAGCCAAGGUCGAGAGACACCGAGUCAGCGCCUUGUCUGGGCGGCCCUGUAUUUUAGUGGCGGCUCAGCACGCGAGACAGAAGAAGCGUUCAACGGCAAGAUAUCUGUCUGUGGGUCAACAGUAGGAUGUGGGAUGAGCGCUCAAUUACUUGGUUGUUUUCGAAGAGUCUGGAAAGAAAGGGAACCAUAUUCCCGUGGCAGCAGCUUAACUCUAGCGGUCAGUGUGGAGAUUCUAAUUCGGGCAGACCUGACUUCAAGU
rnacentral:lncRNA from 1 species